GAGGGGCAGGAUGACCUCCCUCCACCUGCUGGCCACGCUCUUCUUGAUGCCCCCCAGGAUAUCAUUGGCCUUCUUGGCCACAAGAGCACAUUGUCAGCUUAUGGUCAUCCUAUUGUCCACUAGGACUAAGGUGUCCUAUUGUCCACUAGCAGCCAAAGGUUGAUGUCCUUAUACCCAAGAUGAAUGUUGAUUUGGUUUGGAGUUGCUGCACAGGCAGUUUAAAUUCUAUCCUUCUACUAAGGGUUGUAAGUCCUGAAGAAUUUGGAACUGAAUAAAUGCAACAGGAGAGCUGGAUCUGUCAUCCUCCAAACCACGGGCAGCGAUGCUCUGCUGUAUCUACACCCAUAAGGGGGCAAUUAGUCUUCACUAAUCUCUUUUUAAUGGCCAGUUACCCUAAGGAAAGCUCUAAACUUGAAGUUUUUCCCACAUCCCUUAUUCCUCUGAUUUUUCACUUCAAGAAGCAGAGUCACUCACUGCCACUACACCCUUGGGACUGUCUCAGGAGCUUCCCCAAAGAGCAAGUCGAAUAUGCAAUACUGGCACUAGCAAAAGCCAAGGUGUUCUUCUGCAGCAAUAGCUGUUCCAGCCACAGGGAGCUGGGAUGGGUGGUUAAAUUUUACCACUAAACCAGUAUUUCUUCCUUCCUCACCCUGACUUGAGAACCAAAAGAAACAAUUCAUCAGCAGAGAGAUGCAGAACUUCCCUCACAAGGAAGUCACCACAAGGUCUCUCCUCUGGGCUGUAACAUCAUCUGACACAAGGAUCAGAGAACUGAAUAUGCCUCAACAGGUGAAGUUUAAUCUCUCUCUCUCUGUACGUUGAUUUUUCUGUGUGGAACAGAGGAGACAAUAAUCAAGAAACUGUAAAUUUGCAGGUUAGAAGAUUCUGCAGGUUUUGUGUGGGUUUUUUAACUGCUUCUGUUUGAAAUUUAAUAGCAUCCCUUUAGGAAUAAGGGGGUUUUGCUGAGUAAACAGCCAUUAUAGGCUACUUUUUCUGUACCCAAGCCGAGAGAAUUAGAACAAGAAAUUUCUAUUUUAUUAACAGCAAUUCAUACGAAUUCCACUACUUCGACCAGUGUUUAUUUUCUGUUAAUAAAAAUCAGUUUUGACAAAA